rnacentral:lncRNA from 1 species
AUGAAAUCCUUCUCAAAGCCUCAGAUUCGAGUGUUGGUGUUAGAAUUGCUAGGAGGUAGUGAAGGAGAAAUAGCGCUGGAGGCACUUGGAGUCAGACUGAUCAUCAAGACUUCCACAUCAUAUGUGAAAUAGGGUAUGGGGGAUUGUAUGAGCUUCAAGAUCCACAAAACCAGAGAUUUGCUGCUAACUGACCAUCUUCUGUGACAUCUUUCGUUCUAAUCCUUCUCUGAUCAGCUACUGCACCCUGCUUCCAGCAAACACUCCCAAACAGAAACCCCGGGCUGGGAUGAAGACAAUCUCAGGCUCAGAAGAAUCCACUAACUCUGCAGCAAUCCCUAAGGACACUGCUCCGAUUAUGAAGUUGGUUUUCUCUGGGAUCAGGAAAGAAUGAUUAACCAGGAUGGACAUUUGGGGUCACCUUACUGUUUGCCAUUGAAUCUUAUCCCAUCCAGAAUAUUAGUAUACCAGUAUUUCCGCCAUUAAUACCUGAAAUUAACAUAAGAUUAUUCGGAUGAGUUAGAGAGAAUUUUUUUAUUAGCUCCUUCCCCCUUAUCUUAAUCACUCUAGCUAAUUAAGGAGUCACUGACAGCAGAUAGUCAAUAUUCCCUUUCUCAAGCAAAGAGAAUUUAAUUCUAUGUGCAUCUAUUUACUUGAUAUUAAAUUUUCCAAAGAAAGGGCAUAUUUUCAAAUUCUUCUUGGCAAAACUCACCUCUACCCUUUUUCAUAUGUUGACCUACUUUCUUCUAGAGAAAAGUACUAGAGUCAGUGCUCAUAGAAAUUACUAUGUACUUCUCAUACUAUAUUUGGCUCUCUAUCUUGCAUUUUAGUUAUAAAUCAAGUUGAUUAAAUUCUCCAAUUAGUGUGCAAACUAACUGAGGACAGAGGGGAUAUUUAAAUUCUUCACAAAUAAUAAGAGCUCAGGAGCAUUUAUUAAGAUGCAAGAAUAAUCUAAUUAUUCUCACUGUUUGUGUGGUCAGAUUCAGGGUGAUAGGGUAACAAUUAGUCUUUGGUUACUCAGUGCUGAUUACAUAUUUACACUGGAUGUGAGAAAAUAUUGGUUUCUUUGUUUUAUUGAAUUAUUUCUCUGUUACCCUGAAAAUAUUUAUUCUAGUUUCAAACUGUCUUUUAAUUU